rnacentral:rRNA from 1 species
CCUACGGGAGGCAGCAGUGGGGAAUAUUGGACAAUGGGGGGAACCCUGAUCCAGCCAUGCCGCGUGUGUGAAGAAGGCCCUCGGGUUGUAAAGCACUUUCAGUGAGGAAGAACGCCUGGUGGUUAAUACCCAUCAGGAAAGACGUCACUCACAGAAGAAGCACCGGCUAACUCCGUGCCAGCAGCCGCGGUAAUACGGAGGGUGCGAGCGUUAAUCGGAAUUACUGGGCGUAAAGCGCGCGUAGGUGGCUUGAUAAGCCGGUUGUGAAAGCCCCGGGCUCAACCUGGGAACGGCAUCCGGAACUGGCAAGCUAGAGUGCAGGAGAGGAAGGUAGAAUUCCCGGUGUAGCGGUGAAAUGCGUAGAGAUCGGGAGGAAUACCAGUGGCGAAGGCGGCCCUCUGGACUGACACUGACACUGAGGUGCGAAAGCGUGGGUAGCAAACAGGAUUAGAUACCCGAGUAGUC